AUUGAACGCUGGCGGCAUGCCUUACACAUGCAAGUCGAACGGCAGCAUGAUCUAGCUUGCUAGAUUGAUGGCGAGUGGCGCACGGGUGAGUAAUACAUCGGAACGUGCCCUGUCGUGGGGGAUAACUAGUCGAAAGAUUAGCUAAUACCGCAUACGACCUGAGGGUGAAAGUGGGGGACCGCAAGGCCUCAUGCUAUAGGAGCGGCCGAUGUCUGAUUAGCUAGUUGGUGUGGUAAAGGCUCACCAAGGCGACGAUCAGUAGCUGGUCUGAGAGGACGAUCAGCCCCACUGGAACGGAGACACGGCCCAGACUCCUACGGGAGGCAGCAGUGGGGAAUUUUGGACAAUGGGCGAAAGCCUGAUCCAGCAAUGCCGCGUGUGUGAAGAAGGCCUUCGGGUUGUAAAGCACUUUUGUCCGGAAAGAAAUGGCUCUGGUUAAUACCUGGGGUCGAUGACGGUACCGGAAGAAUAAGGACCGGCUAACUACGUG
rnacentral:rRNA from 1 species